rnacentral:rRNA from 1 species
AGCGAACGCUGGCGGCAGGCUUAACACAUGCAAGUCGAGCGGGCACUUUCGGGUGUCAGCGGCGGACGGGUGCGUAACGCGUGGGAACGUGCCCUCUGGUUCGGAAUAACUCAGGGAAACUUGAGCUAAUACCGGAUACGCCCUUUUGGGGAAAGGCUUGCUGCCGGAGGAUCGGCCCGCGUCUGAUUAGCUAGUUGGUGAGGUAACGGCUCACCAAGGCGACGAUCAGUAGCUGGUCUGAGAGGAUGAUCAGCCACACUGGGACUGAGACACGGCCCAGACUCCUACGGGAGGCAGCAGUGGGGAAUAUUGGACAAUGGGCGCAAGCCUGAUCCAGCCAUGCCGCGUGAGUGAUGAAGGCCUUAGGGUUGUAAAGCUCUUUUAUCCGGGACGAUGAUGACGGUACCGGAGGAAUAAGCCCCGGCUAACUUCGUG